UGGAGAUAGGGAAAACAAUUGGAAGAACAUCUAUGUUGCUUUUUAUCAGAAAUGUCCUUGGUCAGGACCAUUUCUGGUUUUCUCCAAACACUGUGUAUGUGUUGCAUGCAGUAACUGAAGUGGUAGUGAUGAUUUCAGUACCUCAACUGCCUGCCUGUGUAGCUCUUUGGAAACAGGAGAAGGAAAUAAAUCAACAAAUUUCUCUGCAGAGUGGAAGAUGAUGAUGUAAGCAGAGGGAGUUUUCAGCUGCAGAAAGAACAAUGGUGGAAACUUAUGGUUUUGUACUACAGCAGCUCCUUUCCACUAUCAGACAGGAAUCUAUGACCACAGGCAAUUCAAACAGGGAUACUAACAAAAUAGUGAGGAGCAACAUUGCACAGGCCUUGUCUUAUGGCAUCUGCUCCAGAAACGACUGGAGGAGCAGAGAUCUGUCUAUUGAGUGGACUUAUUGCCCCAGCCUUCUGGGACAUCUGUCAGAGGCCCCUGUUCAGGGGAAGCUUUCUGCUGCAUCACGUUCUCACCGCUGUAAGGGGCAGAGCUGCGUGAUGCAGCCCGAGAAAACGGGGUAAGUUCGCCACCUGCAGCUGCCUCUGUAGUAUUGCUUCUUUUUGUUGCGUGCGUUUUUUUACGUCUUUUCUGCUCCAUCCGUCAGCAGCGCUGUUUCUGGUAUUUAUAUUCGUUUAGAGGUCGCCGUGCUCCGCUUAAAAUGUAUAAAGGCGUGUCCCACCAUCCCAAACCCUCGGAAACAAACCACCUCCUUCUUCCCCUCAAAACCCAACCCAGCCUACCACAAAACCACCCCUCCCGACAAAACCCUCCCUAAAACAAACGCAAAGCUCCAAAACAGGACUGUGCUGGGUCAGGUAGGUGUGCCAGCUUGGAGCUGCAAGAUAACGGCAGCUUUUCUUUAAAGUUUACUUCAGAAGCUUCAGUAUGGCCAGCU
rnacentral:lncRNA from 1 species